AAGUCUGGCCCUUUAAGAGUUGACUCCUCCCUUCAGAAGGAGUGAUUUCUUUUGGCUGUGGUGUUGUUAGGUAUUUUAUCUGCUCUCAACACUGCUCUCAAAAUGGCUACUUUCCAUCAUCACACAGGCUUUUGAAAUGAAACUAUCGUCUGAGGAGACCCUCCAUCUUGGAGGAGGCCUCAUGGCUGGAAACCGACCUAGAUUGAGAAGGCCCCUUGACCUAUGCCUGUGAACACCUAUCUGCCUUGCCAGAGCAGUCCAAUUUCCCUUUCCUACAUCUCUUCUUAAUUUUAUCCUUCUAUUGUAAUUAAAACCACCAAAAAAUCCCAAA